rnacentral:rRNA from 1 species
UACGGAGGGUGCGAGCGUUGUUCGGAAUCACUGGGCGUAAAGGGCGUGUAGGCGGUCCGCUAAGUCUGAUGUGAAAGCCCGGGGCUCACCCCCGGAAGUGCAUUGGAAACUGGCGGACUCGAGUCCCGGAGAGGAGAGUGGAAUUCCUGGUGUAGCGGUGAAAUGCGUAGAUAUCUGGAGGAAUACCGGUGGCGAAGGCGGCAUCCUGGACCGAGAUUGACGCUGAUGAGCGAAAGCUAGGGGAGCAAACGGG